ACCGAUAGUGAACCAGUACCGUGAGGGAAAGGCGAAAAGAACCCCGGCGAGGGGAGUGAAAAAGAACCUGAAACCGUGUACGUACAAGCAGUGGGAGCCUCUUUAUGGGGUGACUGCGUACCUUUUGUAUAAUGGGUCAGCGACUUAUAUUCUGUAGCAAGGUUAACCGUAUAGGGGAGCCGAAGGGAAACCGAGUCUUAACUGGGCGUUAAGUUGCAGGGUAUAGACCCGAAACCCGGUGAUCUAGCCAUGGGCAGGUUGAAGGUUGGGUAACACUAACUGGAGGACCGAACCGACUAAUGUUGAAAAAUUAGCGGAUGACCUGUGGCUGGGGGUGAAAGGCCAAUCAAACCGGGAGAUAGCUGGUUCUCCCCGAAAGCU
rnacentral:rRNA from 1 species